rnacentral:rRNA from 1 species
AACGAACGCUGGCGGCAAGCUUAACACAUGCAAGUCGAACGCCCCGCAAGGGGAGUGGCAGACGGGUGAGUAACGCGUGGGAAUCUACCUAGUUGUACGGAACAACAGUUGGAAACGACUGCUAAUACCGUAUACGCCCUAUGGGGGCAAGAUUUAUCGGAAUUAGAUGAGCCCGCGUAAGAUUAGCUAGUUGGUGAGGUAAUGGCUCACCAAGGCGACGAUCUUUAGCUGGUCUGAGAGGAUGAUCAGCCACACUGGGACUGAGACACGGCCCAGACUCCUACGGGAGGCAGCAGUGGGGAAUAUUGGACAAUGGGCGCAAGCCUGAUCCAGCCAUGCCGCGUGAGUGAUGAAGGCCUUAGGGUUGUAAAGCUCUUUCAGUAGGGAAGAUAAUGACGGUACCUACAGAAGAAGCCCCGGCUAACUUCGUGCCAGCAGCCGCCGUAAAAC